rnacentral:rRNA from 1 species
UACGAAGGGGGCUAGCGUUGCUCGGAAUCACUGGGCGUAAAGGGUGCGUAGGCGGGGCUUUAAGUCAGGGGUGAAAUCCUGGAGCUCAACUCCAGAACUGCCUUUGAUACUGAAGAUCUUGAGUUCGGGAGAGGUGAGUGGAACUGCGAGUGUAGAGGUGAAAUUCGUAGAUAUUCGCAAGAACACCAGAGGCGAAGGCGGCUCACUGGCCCGAUACUGACGCUGAGGCACGAAAGCGUGGGGAGCAAACAGG